CAGCCGUAAACUAUGCGCGUUAGGUGUAUCGGUGACCACGAGUUACCGAGGUGCCGAAGGGAAACCGUGAAACGUGCCGCCUGGGAAGUACGGUCGCAAGGCUGAAACUUAAAGGAAUUGGCGGGGGUGCACCACAACAGGUGGAGCCUGCGGUUUAAUUGGACUCAACGCCGGGAAGCUCACCGGAUAGGACAGCAGAAUGAUUGCCGGGCUGAAGACCCUGCAUGACUAGCUGAGAGGUGGUGCAUGGCGUCAGUGACU
rnacentral:rRNA from 1 species